UACACUCCUACGGGAGGCAGCAGUGGGGAAUUUUGGACAAUGGGCGAAAGCCUGAUCCAGCAAUGCCGCGUGAGUGAAGAAGGCCUUCGGGUUGUAAAGCUCUUUUGUCAGGGAAGAAACGGUGAGAGCUAAUAUCUCUUGCUAAUGACGGUACCUGAAGAAUAAGCACCGGCUAACUACGUGCCAGCAGCCGCGGUAAUACGUAGGGUGCAAGCGUUAAUCGGAAUUACUGGGCGUAAAGCGUGCGCAGGCGGUUUUGUAAGUCUGAUGUGAAAUCCCCGGGCUCAACCUGGGAAUUGCAUUGGAGACUGCAAGGCUAGAAUCUGGCAGAGGGGGGUAGAAUUCCACGUGUAGCAGUGAAAUGCGUAGAUAUGUGGAGGAACACCGAUGGCGAAGGCAGCCCCCUGGGUCAAGAUUGACGCUCAUGCACGAAAGCGUGGGGAGCAAACAGGAUUAGAAACCCCAGUAGUCCCAUGA
rnacentral:rRNA from 1 species